AACAAUAGUUAUAACUUAUAAGGAUUUUCUUAAAUAGUAAACCGGUUAUUAUGUAAACCGCCGCCAAAAUAAGGGAAACACCGUGAUAACCCCCACAAAUAAAAGCACAUGUACAACAAGUUCCUUGUUAGUUAUGGACAUUGUAGAUGCUAUCCUCUAUCACAUGGCUUGUAACUAAAUAAAAGAGAGCAGGUAGUGAGAGAUAAUUGAUUAUGAAUAAGCACUCUUUAAAGAAAAGUAUUAAAAAUAAUGCAUUGCAACUAGAAACCUUUUUCUUUAAUGAUAUAGACAUGCUAGAAACAAAACUAUAUUGAGCCGACGAUACAGUAGCAUAGUUAUAAAGUUAUAUGAAAUUCUACAGUUUUACACAGAUCCCGGAUCUUGAAAUUUUCUCAGUGUGUAUAUUUUAAGCAAUAAAAAACUUGUAAAUGGCAACUCGGAUCUUAAUAUAUAAAGAUAGUUUAGAAAGAAACAACAAGAUUGUAAAGCUAUUAAAAGCAAUCAGAAUACUUCUCGUGAGAGAAUCAACACAUCACCGGAAGAAGAAAUAAAAACAAUAAAGAUCGAAAAUACGAAAAGAAGAAAGGCGUAGCCUUCCCUUUGCCUCUGAUGACUUGCCGUUUGUAUCCUUCUCCGUUAACAAGAACAGAGAAAGAUAGCGGAACCGAGUAAACUCCGGUUAAUCGUAGCUUGAAUCCUUCUUACCGGCGUCUUCGUGUUCCGUUUCUUCCUCCAUAUCUUCUUCUUCUCUUCCUUAGAUUAGUGGCAAGGAGAGAUAAAAUGUUAGUGUUUCUUUUAGUCUUCUAUGUCUAUCUUCAACCCAUUUAUAAUGCUUCAUUUGGUCCCAUAUCCAAAUCAUUAUUAAUUUACUAUUGUUAUUUUUUAAAGUAUAUGUUUUGCUCAAUUUUAUUUCAACGCUGUGGAAUCUUUAUGAAAGUUAUACCUAACUUCAGUAAAAUUCUAAUAAGCACUUCAAUAAUGGGG
rnacentral:lncRNA from 1 species